rnacentral:piRNA from 1 species
CCACUUCCUAACGAUUCCAACCUGGAGCC